rnacentral:rRNA from 1 species
AUUGAACGCUGGCGGCAUGCCUUACACAUGCAAGUCGAACGGCAGCACGGGGGCAACCCUGGUGGCGAGUGGCGAACGGGUGAGUAACACAUCGGAACGUGCCCAGUAGUGGGGGAUAGCUCGGCGAAAGCCGGAUUAAUACCGCAUACGACCUACGGGUGAAAGCGGGGGAUCGCAAGACCUCGCGCUAUCGGAGCGGCCGAUGUCAGAUUAGGUUGUUGGGGGGUAAAGGCCUACCAAGCCGACGAUCUGUAGCUGGUCUGAGAGGACGACCAGCCACACUGGGACUGAGACACGGCCCAGACUCCUACGGGAGCAGCAGUGGGGAAUUUGGACAAUGGGCGCAAGCCUGAUCCAGCCAUGCCGCGUGCGGGAAGAAGG